AGAGUUUGAUCAUGGCUCAGAGCGAACGCUGGCGGCAGGCCUAACACAUGCAAGUCGAACGGACCUUUCGGGGUUAGUGGCGGACGGGUGAGUAACACGUGGGAACGUGCCUUUAGGUUCGGAAUAGCUCCUGGAAACGGGUGGUAAUGCCGAAUGUGCCCUUCGGGGGAAAGAUUUAUCGCCUUUAGAGCGGCCCGCGUCUGAUUAGCUAGUUGGUGAGGUAAAGGCUCACCAAGGCGACGAUCAGUAGCUGGUCUGAGAGGAUGACCAGCCACAUUGGGACUGAGACACGGCCCAAACUCCUACGGGAGGCAGCAGUGGGGAAUCUUGCGCAAUGGGCGAAAGCCUGACGCAGCCAUGCCGCGUGAAUGAUGAAGGUCUUAGGAUUGUAAAAUUCUUUCACCGGGGACGAUAAUGACGGUACCCGGAGAAGAAGCCCCGGCUAACUUCGUGCCAGCAGCCGCGGUAAUACGAAGGGGGCUAGCGUUGCUCGGAAUUACUGGGCGUAAAGGGAGCGUAGGCGGACAUUUAAGUCAGGGGUGAAAUCCCAGAGCUCAACUCUGGAACUGCCUUUGAUACUGGAUGUCUUGAGUGUGAUAGAGGUAAGUGGAACUCCGAGUGUAGAGGUGAAAUUCGUAGAUAUUCGGAAGAACACCAGUGGCGAAGGCGACUUACUGGAUCAUUACUGACGCUGAGGCUCGAAAGCGUGGGGAGCAAACAGGAUUAGAUACCCUGGUAGUCCACGCCGUAAACGAUGAUUGCUAGUUGUUGGGGUGUUUACAUCUCGGUGACGCAGCUAACGCAUUAAGCAAUCCGCCUGGGGAGUACGGUCGCAAGAUUAAAACUCAAAGGAAUUGACGG
rnacentral:rRNA from 1 species